UCCUGGGAUAGCUCAGUCGGUAGAGCAUGGGACUCUUAAUCUUAAGGUGGUGGGUUCCAGCCCCACACUUGGCAA